rnacentral:miRNA from 1 species
CAAGAGUUCGUGUGCGGCUGUC